rnacentral:rRNA from 1 species
GUGCCAGCCGCCGCGGUAAUACGGAGGAUGCAAGCGUUGUCCGGAUUCAUUGGGUUUAAAGGGUGCGUAGGCGGAGAAUUAAGUCAGUGGUGAAAGCUUACAGCUUAACUGUAAAAAUGCCAUUGAAACUGAUUUUCUUGAGUUCGAUUGAGGUAGAUGGAAUGUAUCAUGUAGCGGUGAAAUGCUUAGAUAUGAUACAGAACACCAAUUGCGAAGGCAGUCUACUAAGUCGACACUGACGCUGAGGCACGAAAGCAUGGGGAGCAAACAGGAUUAGAUACCCUGGUAGUCCAUGCCCUAAACGUUGAUUACUCGUUGUUGGCGAUAUACAGUCAGCGACUAAGCGAAAGCGUUAAGUAAUCCACCUGGGGAGUACGAUCGCAAGGUUGAAACUCAAAUAAAUUGACGG